GUUUGAAAUGUACAAGUUUAUAUUGGCAAUUCACUUUCAUAUUAUAUUUAAAAUUAAUUUACUUAUGUUUGAAUUGAUUUAUUGAUUGUGAAUUAUCUGAAUUAUGUAAACAUAAAACAACAUGUGAACGACAGGUAGCAGUUGUAUUAUUAAUAAAAUAUUAUAAAAUAUUAAAACCGGUUUGUUGCUAUUCUAUAACUUUAACAGGUUAUGGGCCCAGACUCAUGUUUUUUCUUAAAGGUUAAAUUGAAUAUAAUCAAAAUGAAUAUUACAAGUAAUUGUGUGGAGAAGUUGAAUAAUGAUAAUUAUGAAUCGUGGAGGUUACAAACCAGGAGUGUACUUGUAUUUAACGAUCUAUAGGAAUAUGUAAAUGGAGAUAUUAAGUGUCCUACUGCUGAAGAAAAUUAUGGAAAUCAAAAGACGCAAAGGCUUUAGCAUUGAUGUUACUUUCAUUAAAAGAGAAUCAACUGCAACAUGCCAAAAAGGACUACAACUUCGAAUGAAGCAUGGAAUAUUCUGGCAAAAUUGUAUAUUUCCGGUGGACCUGCAAAGAAGGUGAUGAUAUAUAAAAAAAAUCUGAUGUGGUCAGCACAUAACCGACCGCAUUGUGUAUUGUCUAGUUAAAUGAAAGUGUUACAGAUAAUAUUCUGACUGUCUGUUAAAUACUUCUUUCCAAUUUUUAGGACAUUAGUAAGCUUAUAGUUAACAUACCUAGAAAAAUGUAAAUUUGGCUCUUAGUAGAGUUUCGCUUUGUGCUACCCGAAUUCCCUGAAAUGCUAGCUAGUUAGUUUCGGUAACAAGUAGAACUCAAAUAUCAAAUUUCAAGAAAUUCCAUCAAUUCGUUCUGUAGAUAUGGUGAAAAAUGUAAAAUCGGCCCGCAGAUCAGUUUUUGAGCUCUGAUCUUUCCAGAAAAUUUACAUGUUCACUGUUUUAAUACGAGGAAUUCAAAUACUAAAUUUCACUGAAAUCGGUUGAUUAUUUCCCUUUAAAUACACAAAAAUGUAUAUUUGUCCCGUAGUAAACGUCUAGUUGCCGAUGCCUGAUUUCUUCCAAAACAUAGAAGUUUUUGCGGACGGUCGAGCUGAAAUUAUAUAUAAAAUUUCAAGUAAAUCGGUUGAAUAUUUUCUUCAAAAUGUUCAAAAAUGUAAAACAGGCCCGCUAAAAAGUGCAGUUCCCGAGGCCUGAUAUAUAAAAAAAGUUGAUCAAUCCGUGCCAUGGUGGAAAUAAACUUACAUAUAAAAUUUCAUCAAAAUCGGUUCAGCAGAACUUGAGAUACACGCGUUCACAUACAGACCGACAGACCGACAAACCGACAGACCGACAGGUUGCUAAAAAUAGUUUAUUUACACUUUCCUACUAUGGAGAAGUACGUUCCCACCGAAAACUCGAUAUGCAAAAUUUGUUGCCAUCACAUAAACUACCUAUUGUUUACACAAUACGGUCGGUAAUUAUUUAUUUGAAGAAAAAUUAGGAUCAAAGUAUGACAGAGCACAUAGCACAUUUCUUGAAUUUAUUUGGCGUUAUAUUACCAAAAGAUUUAGUUUCAAUUAUGUUAUUAAAUUCAUUACCGGAUGAUUUUGAAAACUUUAUUGUUGCGAUGGAAAACAGAGAUGAACUUACUUCCUGAACCAAAUGUGUUGAAAAUUAAAUUAUUAGAGGAAGAAAAUAGGAGACAAAAUUCUGUUAAUGUAAAAGAUACGUAACUUUAAGCAAAAUAUUUUCUUAUCCAAAAAUGCAACAAAAGGAACAUCUUAUUUUUGCGGCAAACGAGUACACAAAUCAAGUGAUUGCUAUCAAAAAAAAAAAAACAAGAUUGAAAGAAUGAUGAUACGACAAAAACAAACGCUGUAAUGAUUACUGUAUUGUGUGCUAAAAAUAAUCAAAUUUAUUCGAAUUCACAUCAAUGUUAUUUAGACAGCGGUGCAACUGCUCAUAUGUGUAAAGAAAAGAAUUAUUUACAAGUUGGGCUUCAAAAUCGAUUUCAAUGAUAGUUUGGGUAGGUCAAUUAAUUUGAGUCUGUCCUCGUAAGGUGGAAGAAUGAUGGGGUUUUCCCAAGAAAGAAGGCGCAGUGCAAACCUCAAAAAAUUUUUUUGAAUAGACUCAAUUCUAUUAAUAUGUAUAUCGUAAUAGGGUGACCAUACUUGUGAAGCAUAUUCAAGAUGGGGACGGACCAGGCCUGUGUAAAGUGAUUUUAAGAUCAGCACUCCUUUGACCAGCGUUUAAUGAAUCCUAACAUCAAGCUUGAUCUGCAUAUGAUAUGAUUAUAGUGGUUUAUAAAUGAUAACUUGCUAUCGAAGCAAACACCCAGGUCCAUUAUUGAAUCAACUCGACUAAGCGCUUGGUCAUUCAAAGUAUAGUUUGUAAAAAAUGGCCGUUUUUGCCUAGAGUACCACAUUUGUGCACAUUUACUUACAUUGAUUUUUAGGUUGUUACUUGAGCACCAGCCGUAGAAGCUGUUAAGAUCAUUCUAAGACACAACGCCUGAUUUGUAGAGCUUAUUUUUUUAAAAAUUUUCAUAUCAUCAGCAUAUAUUAAUACCUCACUGUGCGUUAGCAUGGAAACAACAUUAUUAAUUGAAAUAAUGAGCAGCAAUGGACCUAAGUGACUACCCUGGGGUACACCAGAAUGGUCCGUUAAGUACCAAAUUAAGUUUAUGGUCCGCUAAGUACCAAAUGUAUUGGGGCACACAAUAUUUUGUAACUUUUAUAGACAGCAAGUCAAGAUUUGUUCACGUAGGCUUUUUAAAAAAUAAAAGCGAUGUUUUUGAAGCGUUUAAAAGAAAUCCAACGUAUGUAGAACGAGAAACCGGGAGAAAAAUAAAAUGCCUAAGAACUGAUAACGGACGCGAAUAUUUGUCAAAACAGUUUAGUGAAUACUUAGAACAAAAUGGAAUUAAACGAGAACUUUCAGUACCCUAUACUUCUCAGCAGAAUCGUAUAGCUAAGCGAGCAAAUCGCACUUUAAUAGAGAUGGCGCGUUGUAUGUCAUUAGAUUAGGAUUUUCUAUAUCAGUGAUGAGCAACCUUUUUUCGAAUUGGGCUAAAUGAGAAAAAGCAAUCGUUCCCGGGCCGCAAUUAUAGCAGAUUUAUUUUCUAGUAAUA